rnacentral:tRNA from 2 species
GGGCGGCUAGCUCAGUGGGAGAGCGCUUGCUUCACACGCAAGAGGUCGCUGGUUCGAUACCAGCGCCGCCCA